GUUCGGAUUGUAGGCUGCAACCCCGCCUACAUGAAGUCGGAAUUGCUAGUAAUCGUGGAUCAGCAUGCCACGGUGAAUACGUUCCCGGGCCUUGUACACGCCGCCCGUCAAACCAUGAGAGUUGGCAACACCCGAAGCCUGUAGCUUAACCGCAAGGAUGGCGCAGUCGAAGGUGGGGUCGAUGAUUAGGGUUAAGUCGUAACAAGGUAGC
rnacentral:rRNA from 1 species